rnacentral:rRNA from 1 species
AGUGAACGCUGGCGGCGUGCCUAAUACAUGCAAGUCGAACGAAGUGGCGCACGGGCGAGUAAUAUAUAGUUAAUCUGCUCUACACAGAGGAACAACAGUUGGAAAAGACUGCUAAUACCUCAUAGGGUAGGAUGAGACUAUAUCGUAUCAGCUAGUUGGUAAGGUAAUGGCUUACCAAGGCUAUGACGCGUAACUGGUCUGAGAGGAUGAUCAGUCACAUUGGAACAGGGAUACGGCCCAAACUCCCGCGGGAGGCAGGAGUGGGGAAUAUUGCACAAUGGGGGAGACCCUGAGGCAGUAACGCCGCGAGAACGAGGAAGGCUUUCGAGUCGUAAAGUUCUUUUAUAUGGGAAGCGGUACCAUAAGAAAAAGCCCCGGCUAACUACGUGCCAGCAGCCGCGGUAAUUC